rnacentral:rRNA from 1 species
GUCUACGGCUAUACCACCCUGAACACGCCCUAUCUCGUCUGAUCUCGGAAGCUAAGCAGGGUCAGGCCUGGUUAGUACUUUGAUGGGAAAUAGCUACCUGUCACCUUUUAUC